rnacentral:rRNA from 1 species
GACGAACGCUGGCGGCGUGCUUAACACAUGCAAGUCGAACGAAGAGCGACGGAAGCUUGCUUCUAUCAAUCUUAGUGGCGAACGGGUGAGUAACGCGUAAUCAACCUGCCCUUCAGAGGGGGACAACAGUUGGAAACGACUGCUAAUACCGCAUACGAUCUAACCUCGGCAUCGAGGAUAGAUGAAAGGUGGCCUCUACAUGUAAGCUAUCACUGAAGGAGGGGAUUGCGUCUGAUUAGCUAGUUGGAGGGGUAACGGCCCACCAAGGCGAUGAUCAGUAGCCGGUCUGAGAGGAUGAACGGCCACAGUGGGACUGAGACACGGCCCAGACUCCUACGGGAGGCAGCAGUGGGGAAUCUUGCGCAAUGGACGAAAGUCUGACGGAGCAACGCCGCGUGAGGGAUGACGGCCUUCGGGUUGUAAAGCUCUGUUAAUCGGGACGAAAGGCCUUCUUGCGAAUAGUGAGAAGGAUUGACGGUACCGGAAGAGAAAGCCACGGCUAACUACGUG